rnacentral:rRNA from 1 species
UACGUAGGGUGCGAGCGUUAAUCGGAAUUACUGGGCGUAAAGCGUGCGCAGGCGGUUAUUUAAGUCAGGUGUGAAAGCCCUGGGCUUAACCUAGGAAUUGCGCUUGAGACUGGAUAGCUUGGAGUGCGGCAGAGGGAGGUGGAAUUCCACGUGUAGCAGUGAAAUGCGUAGAGAUGUGGAGGAACACCGAUGGCGAAGGCAGCCUCCUGGGCCAGCACCGACGCUCAUGCACGAAAGCGUGGGGAGCAAACAGG